UACGUAGGCAGCAAGCGUUGUUCGGAGUUACUGGGCGUAAAGGGUGCGUAGGCGGCCUUAUAAGUAUGGUGUGAAAUCUCCCGGCUUAACUGGGAGGGUGCGCUAUAGACUGCGGGGCUAGAGUGUGGGAGAGGAAAGUGGAAUUCCUGGUGUAGCGGUGAAAUGCGUAGAUAUCAGGAGGAACACCGGUGGUGUAAACGGCUUUCUGGACCAUAACUGACGCUGAGGCACGAAAGCGUGGGUAGCAAACAGG
rnacentral:rRNA from 1 species